AUAUUCGUAAAAGGGAUAACUCAUAUAAUUGUGAUAAUAUGGUUCACAAGUAUCUACCAGAUUACCGUAAAUAAUUUGCCUAUGAGUAAGACUAUAUUAAUU
rfam:Clostridium taeniosporum strain 1/k, complete genome.